UACGUAGGGUCCGAGCGUUGUCCGGAAUUAUUGGGCGUAAAGAGCUCGUAGGCGGGUUGUCGCGUCUGCUGUGAAAUCCCGAGGCUCAACCUCGGGUCUGCAGUGGGUACGGGCAGACUGGAGUGCGGUAGGGGAGAAUGGAAUUCCUGGUGUAGCGGUGGAAUGCGCAGAUAUCAGGAGGAACACCGAUGGCGAAGGCAGUUCUCUGGGCCGUAACUGACGCUGAGGAGCGAAAGCGUGGGGAGCGAACAGG
rnacentral:rRNA from 1 species